rnacentral:rRNA from 1 species
AGAGUUUGAUCAUGGCUCAGAAUCAACGCUGGCGGCGUGCCUAAUACAUGCAAGUCGAACGCGAAAGUCCCGCAAGGGAUGAGUAGAGUGGCAAACGGGUGAGUAACGCGUGGGUGACCUGCCUUCGAGUGGGGGAUAACCCCGGGAAACCGGGGCUAAUACCGCAUAAUAUCUACGGGAUGAGAAGCCGAAGAUCAAAGGAGCAAUUCGCCGGAAGAGGGAGUCGCGGCUGAUUAGCUAGUUGGCGGGGUAAUGGCCCACCAAGGCUUUGAUCGGUAGCCGGCCUGAGAGGGCGCACGGCCACACUGGAACUGAAACACGGUCCAGACUCCUACGGGAGGCAGCAGUGGGGAAUUUUGCGCGAUGGGGGAAACCCUGACGCAGCAGCGCCGCGUGGAGGAUGAAGUCCCUUGGGACGUAAACUCCUUUCGACCCGGACGAUAAUGACGGUAC